GUCCCUGCAGUGCAAUGGAUAGCGCUUUGGAUUUUUUCCAAAGGUCGUGGGCUCGAAUCCCACCUAGGAUG